GUAUGCGUAGUUUAACCAAAAACAUCAGCCUGUGAAGCUGAAGAUAAAGCCAGGCUCUCGCACACC
rnacentral:tRNA from 1 species